UACGUAGGGUGCAAGCGUUGUCCGGAAUUAUUGGGCGUAAAGAGCUCGUAGGCGGUCUGUCGCGUCUGUUGUGAAAACUCGAGGCUCAACCUCGGGCUUGCAGUGGAUACGGGCAGACUAGAGUGCGGUAGGGGAGACUGGAAUUCCUGGUGUAGCGGUGGAAUGCGCAGAUAUCAGGAGGAACACCGGUGGCGAAGGCGGGUCUCUGGGCAGUUACUGACGCUGAGGAGCGAAAGCAUGGGGAGCGAACAGG
rnacentral:rRNA from 1 species